AGCUCGCCUAAAAGCAUAUGACAAGCUACUGUAAAACACCAUCCGUUUUGGUGUUUUGGAUGGAACUAGAUUUCUAUGGCUUAAAAAUGAAGUUACAGACAUGAGAAUUCACAGUUCCCACCGAUGGUACGGCGCAGCAUGAGCGUACAGUUUGUGAAGUGAUUUACCAGUUCAUGCUCACUUAGUCACUGCAAUUUGCGUUAAAAUUGCAUAUUGCCAAAGCAUUUUGUCCAAUGAAGCCUCAUGGAAUUAUCUCCUGCUGUUUGCUGUUUGAGCCUUGUUUAGGUUUGCAAGUUCUUCAAUCAGCUUCCUCUCGUCGCUGCUCAGACGCUUUGGAAUCUCGACCUGCACACGCACUAGCUGGUCUCCACGAGCAUUUGACUUCCCGAGGAGUGGGACACCUUUCUUGGACAUCACUAACGUUGUGCCUGGCUGGGUACCGGAGGGGAUCUUCAGGUCAACCAUCCCAUCAACAGUGGGAACCUUGACGGUUGUCCCAAGAAUUGCGUCAAUAUAUGAAACUUUGCAUGUGUAUAGAAUGUUUGUCCCAUCUCGCUUAAGAACAGGAUCAGAGAGAACAUCAAUAAACACAUAAAGAUCUCCAGGAGGGCCUCCUCUCCGCCCAGCAUUCCCCUCAGACCGGACCCUCAAUCUGCUUCCAGAAUCAACACCAGCAGGAACCUUUAGACUGAUCCUUUUUGUCUUCCGCACUCGGCCAUCACCCCCACAAGUGUUGCACGGGGUAGAGAAUUCACCAGUGCCUCCGCAAGUAUUGCAGGUGGAGACCUGCUGGAAUAUUCCAAGUGGCGUUCUUGUUGAGGAGACCACUUGUCCCUGUCCUCCACAUGUUUUGCAUGUGGUUGGUUUCGUUCCAGGCUUGGCACCAGUUCCAUCACAUGUAUUACAGCCUUCCAGUCUGGUGAUCUCAAUUUCUUUCUCUACACCAAACACCGCUUCCUUGAAAUUGAGUACCAGAUUGUAGGCCUCAUCAUCACCCUGCAUUGGUCUGUUCCGAGCAGCACGGCCUCCCAUUCCCCCCAUUCCACCAAAGCCUUCGAAUAAUGAUUCAAAGAGAUCGAAUGGGUUUGAGUAAUCCUGCAGAUUCACAAAUUUCAUACAAUCAAUAUCAUAUAAAGGUCAUGCUGAUCAUACUUCAGAAUUGGACAACAUUCUAGGAACACUCACUCCUGUUCCCAUUCCAGCACCCUUCAAACCAGCUUCUCCAUAUUUAUCAUAGAUUGAUCGCUUCUCAUCAUCAGACAAAACCUGCAAUCCUAUUUAUGUUAGCUGGCAAGCACCUGUAACCCUACAACAACAUAGUCAUAAGAAACAAUGGGAUUUGGUUAUGGUUAGCUGGACUAACCUCAUAAGCAUUGCUAAUAUCCUUGAACUUUUGUUCAGCACCAGGAUCUCUAAAGAAAAAUACACAAGCAUAACAAUUGCUUAUUUGAUUAUGUAGUUAUGAAAAAGGUAAUGCAACAACUAGUACUCAGGUUUAUAAUGGAUCGAAAGGAGAAAAAGAAGCAAUAUAUCGAGUGUAGCUGAAACACAAUUCCCAUAUAAUGGUUAGUACUUACUUGUUCACAUCAGGAUGGUAGCUCCUAGCAAGCUUCCUAUAGGCUGGAAAAGAAGGACCAUUUUAGAACUACAAUAGAAAGCAACAUUAAACUACUACACAUAUUUUGAUCAAAAUUGACUCUGAAGGAUUUCUAACAUAAUAUCCCCUUAGGCAUUAUUUGGAUAGGACAAAUCCUAGAUUAUCUACGGGUGUGGGUUGGGAUUUUUGUUCAAAAUUUCUGCCCACACACGUGGAGGGCAGGGAUUGAGGGCCAUACAAACAAUGCAUCAAUGAGAAGUUGCCAACAAUAGAUUUUCAGAAAUAUAAACAGUAUCGAGUCUAGAACGCAAGAUGAUCAGUUGCAGAAAAUGAUACUGAAGACAGCAUAGGCUUGUCUUAGAAUAGUUCAAGGGGUUUUGCUGAGAUAGCCUUCAAAUUAGAUGAAAUAGCAAAUAUUUGAGUUACUAGUAGGAAUAGUAAAGCUUUCGAGAACAAACAAGUGGGCCAUAAAGCUCACUAUGGCCAAGUUUGAAAAAGACUAGUUAUAUAUUUCAUAUCUUCCCUGGGAAGCUUAACAGUUUCUGUUGUACAUAUAUUUUGUUUCACACGUGAACAGUAUGAUUUAAAACUAGUAAUCUACGACUAAUAGCCACAUGAAAGCAGUCUGGUUUGUUUGGUAAAUUAUAGGGUACCUACAAACCUACAACCAGGCUCAAACUAGAGAAGAAGCAAAGCUGGGUAAUACUCCUACGAUUGUACGGAGCACCAAUCACUGCAUGCCCUAAACUGACAAAUAAAACCACACCUACCACUCUUGAUUUCAGAUUUACUAGCAUUUCUUGAAACACCAAGUGUGGAAUAGAAAUCCUGUAAAUUAAAAUAUCAAAUCCAUGUCAGGAAACUGGAUUUUCUAAUAAUACCAGCAAAGAAGAAAAGCAAAUGAAGUAACUCACAGCAUCAGCUCUGACAAUGAACCUUGAACUCCUUCGAUGGCGAAAUCUCGGUGAUGGUGCAUGGUUAAAUAGUCGAGAAGAUGUCCGUGAUUGUAAACUAGCAGUAGGUGAUACAAGGUGUUUAAGCCUGCCUCCACUACUGCACAAAAAGAGAUAUAUCAUCUUCAGUUUACUCAGAAAUCUUGCCUUUUUAUAAUAUCAAUGUGUCCUUUAUUUUAGUAUUCCUAGUACAUCUCACUGAUCAGAACACAUUCACAUACCCACUUUUCGACACCAGAAAUCUUGGAUCAGCAUAAAUAACUCUUGUAAGUGCAGGUGACCUGGGCAACAGCUGAGGUUUUUCCCCAAGUUUGGGGGCCAAGGUACCUCCAAACUGUAGCAACGCCAUUGAAAUACUUGCUGGAUACCCACAAAGCUUCAACCUUCAAUAUACUAGCUGCCAUUUCACAGAGAUAGAGUCAGGUGAAGCAUAACAAAAGCAAUACACAAAAGAACGAUAUUCGAGUAAGUUCACAAUUCUAUUCAAAAACGUUCUCUUCUAAAUUUUAAUCAACCAACACAUAUCGACUGUCAUUACUCCUUACUCCUUUAAGAGGAUGAAUAGGGGCGAGGGUGUGUACAACUGUACAUACAUAUGUACUGCUUGCAGGAACUUUUUCAGAGAUCAUGGGCCUGCUGAGCAGCCAUUGCUACGGUUGUGGAUGCACACCGCGGCCACAGCUAGUAGCUUAGGUACAGCUGCAGCAGUGGCUGUCGAGCAGGGCGUGUAUUAUUUGCAUGUAUUUAUAUGUGGGAUUGAUCAUCUCUUGCAUGUAUACACUUUUUUAGGUUCGAGGAUAAUUAGUUUUGCAUUUUUGAGCUUACAUACCAUGGUAAAUUUGUUAUACAUAAGAAUUCGGCCAUAACGUGCGAAGCUGGCAAACACUACGCUAUAUUAUCUUCGAGGUGGAGUUGGUGGUUGUAAUCGUGUGCUAUGCAUCCUUACCGAUCCUAACAUAUCAUAUAUGCAGAUACAUGGACACCAUGAGAUGCUCGGGUUUAUAACAUUCGGUAUUAUUUUUUUUUCUUUUUUGCUGCCGAAUUUACCAACCACAAAAAUAUAUAAUACCUACCGGGCUGCAGCAAAUCAGGACAAAAGCCUCUUGAAGAACUGCGGCAAUAGGGCAAGAAGCGGUGGCGGCACGGCGCUGUCGGGCGUGACCACGCGAGGGAGGGGCGGGCGCGGGAAUAGUAGGGCUAGGGAUUUGGUCGGGGAGCUGUGGACGACGGGACACGGGAAGAGAGGGGAGGAAUGGGGGAUGGAGAGAGAGAAGAAGAAGUGGCACCUCGUCUCGAGCUGCGGAGGUCGUCGCAGCCACUCGGGGAGGGAAGUGAGCCUCCCGGGAGAUAAGAUUUGGGCAAAGGCACGCGUGUAGGGGGUGGAUGUCGAGCCAGCUCGGCUCGGUCUAGCUAGGCUCGGCUUAUUAUCCUAACGAGCUAGAAAACCAAGCUAGGCUCGGCUAGUUGUCUAGCUCGAGCGGGCUCGUUUGGCUCGUGAGCCAAAGAAAGCAGGGCAAGCAAGACGACGAGGACGCGCGGCCACACGGGAGUAGGGGUGUCGCCCGCCGGGUAACUAGGCGAUUCGCGCGAGGAAGAGGCGAGUUGGGGUCUUAGGGUGGCCGGAGGCAAGUAGGGAAGGAGACGGCGUGACCUACUGACCUUCCCGAUAGCCAGCGUGAGGAGCGGAUGGCAGCUGUUGACGUUGAGGAUGCGAGGUGAAGCGGGGAGACCGGCGGCGAGAAAGGGCACAACCGCGCGCACAAGGAAGGGUGGCGCUACGAGCUACGACUCCUCGACUCCUGGGCGGCGCUGUCGGCCACUCGGCUCGAGGAUAAGCGGCGCUUCUGGGAAUCGUUGAGAAAAGGAACGGACAGGUAGGGAGGGAUUUUAGGGUUAGACUAUUGGGCUUAUUAUCUUCGAGGUGGAGUUGGUAAUUGUAAUCGUGUGAUAUGCAUCCUUACCAAUCCUAACAUAUCAUAUAUGCUGAUAUAUAGACACCAUGAGAUGCUCGGGUUUAUAACAUUCGGUAUUAAACACUUUUUUUUUUGCUGCCAAAUUUACCAACGAGAAAAAUAUACAAUACCUACUGGGCUGCAGCAAAUCAGGACAACCUCUUAAAGAACCGCGGCAGUAGGGCAAGAAGCGGCGGCACUGUCGGGCCCGAUCGUGCGGCGUGACCGCGCGAGGGAGGCCUGGUGGGUGGGGAAUAGUAGGGCUAGGGAUUUGGUCGGGGAGCUGUGGACGACGGGACACGGGAAGAGGGGAGGAAUGGGGGAGACGAGAGUGAGAGAGAGAAGGGCACCUCGUCGGCGGCACGCGUGCUCGAGGUGUGGAGGUCGUCGGCGGCCGCACCGCGGCGGUGGGGAAUGGGGGCAAGGCGCGGCAGCGGUGGGAAAUGGGGGCAAGGGAAGGGAAGGUGGAGGGAUUGGAUGGUUUGAGUGACUCGGGAAGGGAAGUGGAGCGGAGCCUCCCGGGAGAUAAGAUUUGCGCAGAGGCACGCGUGGCCUACGCAUUGGCACCGCUGGCCUCCAUCUGGGCCGUCGGCUUCACAUCCGACGGGGUUGGUGUCGAGGGCUCGGGGCCCCGGUUUUUGCGUUUUGAGGGAAAUGCGUUCCAUAUGUUUCCGACGAGGAGUAUUCCAGAAUAAUACCUACUACAUCUAAAAUCAUGUUCAUUAUUUAUUAGUGUUGUUUUUUAUUUCUUUUGAUGAAAGUAGGUAAGGUGUCUAUUUUGAUUGGUAAUAAAGAACAUAGUUUACAUAAAUAUUACAUAUGCUCUAGCAGAUAAAUAGUUAAAACAUAACGAUUUUUUACCAUAACGGUGGAGGGAGCCAAACUAGAAAUUAAGAAAUUAGGAGUAAACAUUAACCAAAAGUGCAUUCUAUUGUUAUUAGAUUGUACUUGGCAUAUAUCAUUUUGUUUUUUUAUUCCAAACUAUAGUUGAUUUGAAUUUACUAAUUACCUAAUUUAAAUAUCUAUAUUAUUAGUCUAAAUUAUUUUUAAAAUUAAAAAUAUUAAAAUAUUACAGAUAUAUCACAAUGUUUUAGGGACGGGAAGACAAAGUACGUUCAAUGGUUUCAAUUUAUAACCUGAUAAAGAAAGAAUGUUAAAUUAGAUUCAUGCCAAGUGUCACAGUAUGUCCUUUAGAAAAUUUUGUGGAAUAAAAAUUACUUAUAAGAAUAUACCUUGAUAAAAAGAUAUUUUGUGUGACUAUGGGUAGUUUGUGGUCUAGAUUCUUCUUAAGAAAUUUAUGUGAGUUUGGAUGAGUACAAAUUAUGUGAGCUUACAUUUUUCGUUCUAAGGGUGUUUGGAUGAGAUUCAAUAACCAAAUUACAUCUGCUAAAAACGGAAAUCAAAAUUAACAACUUGAAAGUAGGUGGAGCUGGGCAGAGGCAGAUCUAACCCUGUUUCGGUUGAACCCCCAAACUUUUUGAGGGAUAACGCAGAAUACCUGAUGAGGUGUGGGUAGGGAGGGAUGCUCACCGGCGAGCGACGAUGCGGUGGAAGAAGGAGGACGCCGGGCGCCACCUCUGCUCGCAGGAUGGGGAUCGGCGCAAGCGGCGGGCGAGGAGACGAAAUUCGAGGCCGAGGCCGGAUGGGAUGGAUUAGGAUGCGAAUGCGGCGGGAGCAGGAGGACGCCGGCGCCACCUCUGCUAGCAGGAUGGAGAUCGGCGCCAGCGGCAGGCGAGGAGACGGGAGUCGAGGGCGGCGGGCGAGGAGACGGGACGGAUUGGGGAGGCGGAGGUCGUGCAGCGCUCUGCUGCCGCGUUGUCGCCUGCCUAUGGGUCAUAUGCACAGGCGCCUCAUCUCCCAAAAAAGUUCAUCUAAGGUCCCUUAUCUUGUCGUUGAGUUUUAAACGGCCCUGAACCCCUAAUCUUGCAAAACGGUCCACUUUUAAUCCCAAGGUAGUAUUGCUUUCCGGUUUUGUUGACGUGGUGGCUGAGUCAGUGCAGGGCCCACGUGGAACCCACAAGCCAACUAGCAAUCUUCUUCCACCUCACUCCCCUCUACUCCUAUCUCAACCCAAACCUCUAGGGCAUUCGCCAAUGGGUGGGGAGAAGGGUGUCGGUUGGCAGGGAAAAGCUCAACGGCGGAGGCCGCCAGCUGACGUGGCUCCUAAUGACCGGGAGCGCUCACGUCAUGGACUUGCGCACGUGCGGGGGUGUGGCACGGGUCCCAACUACAACUGCUCACCUUCUCCCCACCCAUCGCCAGGCGCCGUCGUCGGGCACCGGCCACCACACACCUCUCCCACGAUUCAGCGUCCUCUUCGCUCCAUGACGCAGCCGUCAAGAGCCCAGGGUGACUCACACCUUCCCUCCCUCGUGGGCCAAAGUCGGGAGGAUGUUUGCAUCCAUAUUCGAUCGAGGGAGAAACCUCAUUUUCUCCAGCAGCCGAAACAUGCCAACUCCCGCCCCCCCCCCCCCCCCCCCCGCAGCUGGGGUAACAAGCUCACGCCACCGAGCUCGCCAGGAGCGAUGCGAGCGCGUCGUCUUUUAUGCCGGUGUCAGUCGUCAUAGAUUUUCCAUGUGGUACUAAAAACUUCGUUUUUGUGCGUGACAGUUGCGCGUAGAAUAUGUAUGGGCUUUGCACGCACGCCGGCCCGAAGUCUCGAAAUUAUCCAGGAUCAUCAUGCGCCGUCCCUCGUGAAGGCCGCCGCCGCCGGGUCCGUCGCCGGCGAACAGCGUGGCCACCGCCAUAAGCCACCCGCUGAUCCGCCCAUGCACAACAGCCCAUCCUGUUGCAGCCACUCCUCGCCGCCGGCACAACCACCACCACCGGGCUUUCUCACCGACACCACCGGCGACGGCAGCGGCAGCCUGACGGCCAAUGUUCUGCACAAUGUCAAUCUCCUGCAUAUCAAUCACACUCCCAACCCUGAAAUGGUGGAAUACCUGCUAGUAUUCCACUGCAGAUCAAACACUUUCCUUUGGUUGGCUUGUAGAGUAGAGAUAGGGUACAGUCUGCAAACAGAAUUGGUUCAUCGGCACUGGAUAUAGGAUACAGCUUGCAUUGCAACAGAGUUUGCAGAAUGCAUGGCUUUACUAAAGAGGGAUCACCCUUACAAUUUUUGCGCUGUUUUAUUGGACUGAAAAUUAACACAAAUCAAUGUACCCAGUGACUUGCCAUCAGCCAAGCAGCUGUCUUUUCGGUUUCCAGAUUGGAUUCGGGUAAAGUUUAAGACUCCGGAAGCAGGAAUUUUAGGCACUGUAUUGCCAUUAGAUAAUCGGGUGGAUAAUAUACAUAUUGGUUUGCCAAACACUUGGAACAGGCCACAAAUUUCGAGUUAACUUUUAUUUGAUUGAGGAUUUCACAACCGGUUUAUACAAGGUCUAGUACCCAAGAGAAUAAUAGCGUACUGAACAAACAAAGGGACAGGAAAGAACAAGGGCUGCUUCUGUCAAGAACCAUGGUCACUUGAACAUAAAUGCAAGGUGAGAUAAAACGAUAAUGGCGUUAGAAGAGGGAAGGAAGAAAUGAUCAGAAGCAGCAGGCUACUGGCAUUGACACUUGAUGGUGUUAACGAUAAUGUUAAACAAGUCGACACGAAAAAAUCACUACUACUCCUACUCCUAAGCCUCAGUGAAGGAGGAAACGGAGAACAUCUCUCUCGCAUUGCAGUAAAUGGUACUGCUGGUGCUGGACUCCUCACGUUUCUCAGCUGUUGAACGCUGGAGGUAGAACAGUAGUAGCACUGGUAAACAGUGGAAGUAAAAUUUCAUUUAUGGAUUAUUAAUUUGCUAUUAAAGGACAGUUUAAACUGAUCUAAAGCCAAGCUAACAUGGUGAACUUUUGUGGCUAACGCAAGUAUGGAAGGGUUGCCAUACAAUGUACAAGCUAACAUGAACGUUAUUGAAGCUGAAAAAACUAUAAUGUAAUACUCCUAUAUCCUACUGACAUGUCUGCACCAUAUAUUGAUCCAUGAGACUCAUUCCUGACUGGCCUUUUACUGGCACAUGCAUGGAACAAUCAGCUUAAAGUUAACAGUCAGCUAUACUGCAUUUAGCUGCACGCCUGCACUACAACAGAUUUUGCAACUGCCAUUACAUUGGCUAAUAGAGAAAGCUAGCAUACAGUUGAAAACCAAACGGAACAAACCCCCAACGCUUAAGAGCACAUGAAAACCUGCUGCCAAAACUUUGAUGUUACAGCUUACAAUAACAAUCAGAAUGGUCUGGUGCUUCUGCGACAAACAAAUGUUUCAAAACUCGUCCCUUUUGCACCAUUAAAUAUUUCUCCCUAGGCCUUUCAAAAUUGUGAAAAAGUAUUAUGAAAAAUAGACUAAUAAGCUCGCCUAAAAGCAUAUGACAAGCUACUGUAAAACACCAUCCGUUUUGGUGUUUUGGAUGGAACUAGAUUUCUAUGGCUUAAAAAUGAAGUUACAGACAUGAGAAUUCACAGUUCCCACCGAUGGUACGGCGCAGCAUGAGCGUACAGUUUGUGAAGUGAUUUACCAGUUCAUGCUCACUUAGUCACUGCAAUUUGCGUUAAAAUUGCAUAUUGCCAAAGCAUUUUGUCCAAUGAAGCCUCAUGGAAUUAUCUCCUGCUGUUUGCUGUUUGAGCCUUGUUUAGGUUUGCAAGUUCUUCAAUCAGCUUCCUCUCGUCGCUGCUCAGACGCUUUGGAAUCUCGACCUGCACACGCACUAGCUGGUCUCCACGAGCAUUUGACUUCCCGAGGAGUGGGACACCUUUCUUGGACAUCACUAACGUUGUGCCUGGCUGGGUACCGGAGGGGAUCUUCAGGUCAACCAUCCCAUCAACAGUGGGAACCUUGACGGUUGUCCCAAGAAUUGCGUCAAUAUAUGAAACUUUGCAUGUGUAUAGAAUGUUUGUCCCAUCUCGCUUAAGAACAGGAUCAGAGAGAACAUCAAUAAACACAUAAAGAUCUCCAGGAGGGCCUCCUCUCCGCCCAGCAUUCCCCUCAGACCGGACCCUCAAUCUGCUUCCAGAAUCAACACCAGCAGGAACCUUUAGACUGAUCCUUUUUGUCUUCCGCACUCGGCCAUCACCCCCACAAGUGUUGCACGGGGUAGAGAAUUCACCAGUGCCUCCGCAAGUAUUGCAGGUGGAGACCUGCUGGAAUAUUCCAAGUGGCGUUCUUGUUGAGGAGACCACUUGUCCCUGUCCUCCACAUGUUUUGCAUGUGGUUGGUUUCGUUCCAGGCUUGGCACCAGUUCCAUCACAUGUAUUACAGCCUUCCAGUCUGGUGAUCUCAAUUUCUUUCUCUACACCAAACACCGCUUCCUUGAAAUUGAGUACCAGAUUGUAGGCCUCAUCAUCACCCUGCAUUGGUCUGUUCCGAGCAGCACGGCCUCCCAUUCCCCCCAUUCCACCAAAGCCUUCGAAUAAUGAUUCAAAGAGAUCGAAUGGGUUUGAGUAAUCCUGCAGAUUCACAAAUUUCAUACAAUCAAUAUCAUAUAAAGGUCAUGCUGAUCAUACUUCAGAAUUGGACAACAUUCUAGGAACACUCACUCCUGUUCCCAUUCCAGCACCCUUCAAACCAGCUUCUCCAUAUUUAUCAUAGAUUGAUCGCUUCUCAUCAUCAGACAAAACCUGCAAUCCUAUUUAUGUUAGCUGGCAAGCACCUGUAACCCUACAACAACAUAGUCAUAAGAAACAAUGGGAUUUGGUUAUGGUUAGCUGGACUAACCUCAUAAGCAUUGCUAAUAUCCUUGAACUUUUGUUCAGCACCAGGAUCUCUAAAGAAAAAUACACAAGCAUAACAAUUGCUUAUUUGAUUAUGUAGUUAUGAAAAAGGUAAUGCAACAACUAGUACUCAGGUUUAUAAUGGAUCGAAAGGAGAAAAAGAAGCAAUAUAUCGAGUGUAGCUGAAACACAAUUCCCAUAUAAUGGUUAGUACUUACUUGUUCACAUCAGGAUGGUAGCUCCUAGCAAGCUUCCUAUAGGCUGGAAAAGAAGGACCAUUUUAGAACUACAAUAGAAAGCAACAUUAAACUACUACACAUAUUUUGAUCAAAAUUGACUCUGAAGGAUUUCUAACAUAAUAUCCCCUUAGGCAUUAUUUGGAUAGGACAAAUCCUAGAUUAUCUACGGGUGUGGGUUGGGAUUUUUGUUCAAAAUUUCUGCCCACACACGUGGAGGGCAGGGAUUGAGGGCCAUACAAACAAUGCAUCAAUGAGAAGUUGCCAACAAUAGAUUUUCAGAAAUAUAAACAGUAUCGAGUCUAGAACGCAAGAUGAUCAGUUGCAGAAAAUGAUACUGAAGACAGCAUAGGCUUGUCUUAGAAUAGUUCAAGGGGUUUUGCUGAGAUAGCCUUCAAAUUAGAUGAAAUAGCAAAUAUUUGAGUUACUAGUAGGAAUAGUAAAGCUUUCGAGAACAAACAAGUGGGCCAUAAAGCUCACUAUGGCCAAGUUUGAAAAAGACUAGUUAUAUAUUUCAUAUCUUCCCUGGGAAGCUUAACAGUUUCUGUUGUACAUAUAUUUUGUUUCACACGUGAACAGUAUGAUUUAAAACUAGUAAUCUACGACUAAUAGCCACAUGAAAGCAGUCUGGUUUGUUUGGUAAAUUAUAGGGUACCUACAAACCUACAACCAGGCUCAAACUAGAGAAGAAGCAAAGCUGGGUAAUACUCCUACGAUUGUACGGAGCACCAAUCACUGCAUGCCCUAAACUGACAAAUAAAACCACACCUACCACUCUUGAUUUCAGAUUUACUAGCAUUUCUUGAAACACCAAGUGUGGAAUAGAAAUCCUGUAAAUUAAAAUAUCAAAUCCAUGUCAGGAAACUGGAUUUUCUAAUAAUACCAGCAAAGAAGAAAAGCAAAUGAAGUAACUCACAGCAUCAGCUCUGACAAUGAACCUUGAACUCCUUCGAUGGCGAAAUCUCGGUGAUGGUGCAUGGUUAAAUAGUCGAGAAGAUGUCCGUGAUUGUAAACUAGCAGUAGGUGAUACAAGGUGUUUAAGCCUGCCUCCACUACUGCACAAAAAGAGAUAUAUCAUCUUCAGUUUACUCAGAAAUCUUGCCUUUUUAUAAUAUCAAUGUGUCCUUUAUUUUAGUAUUCCUAGUACAUCUCACUGAUCAGAACACAUUCACAUACCCACUUUUCGACACCAGAAAUCUUGGAUCAGCAUAAAUAACUCUUGUAAGUGCAGGUGACCUGGGCAACAGCUGAGGUUUUUCCCCAAGUUUGGGGGCCAAGGUACCUCCAAACUGUAGCAACGCCAUUGAAAUACUUGCUGGAUACCCACAAAGCUUCAACCUUCAAUAUACUAGCUGCCAUUUCACAGAGAUAGAGUCAGGUGAAGCAUAACAAAAGCAAUACACAAAAGAACGAUAUUCGAGUAAGUUCACAAUUCUAUUCAAAAACGUUCUCUUCUAAAUUUUAAUCAACCAACACAUAUCGACUGUCAUUACUCCUUACUCCUUUAAGAGGAUGAAUAGGGGCGAGGGUGUGUACAACUGUACAUACAUAUGUACUGCUUGCAGGAACUUUUUCAGAGAUCAUGGGCCUGCUGAGCAGCCAUUGCUACGGUUGUGGAUGCACACCGCGGCCACAGCUAGUAGCUUAGGUACAGCUGCAGCAGUGGCUGUCGAGCAGGGCGUGUAUUAUUUGCAUGUAUUUAUAUGUGGGAUUGAUCAUCUCUUGCAUGUAUACACUUUUUUAGGUUCGAGGAUAAUUAGUUUUGCAUUUUUGAGCUUACAUACCAUGGUAAAUUUGUUAUACAUAAGAAUUCGGCCAUAACGUGCGAAGCUGGCAAACACUACGCUAUAUUAUCUUCGAGGUGGAGUUGGUGGUUGUAAUCGUGUGCUAUGCAUCCUUACCGAUCCUAACAUAUCAUAUAUGCUGAUACAUGGACACCAUGAGAUGCUCGGGUUUAUAACAUUCGGUAUUAUUUUUUUUUCUUUUUUGCUGCCGAAUUUACCAACCACAAAAAUAUAUAAUACCUACCGGGCUGCAGCAAAUUAGGACAAAAGCCUCUUGAAGAACUGCGGCAAUAGGGCAAGAAGCGGUGGCGGCACGGCGCUGUCGGGCGUGACCACGCGAGGGAGGGGCGGGCGCGGGAAUAGUAGGGCUAGGGAUUUGGUCGGGGAGCUGUGGACGACGGGACACGGGAAGAGAGGGGAGGAAUGGGGGAUGGAGAGAGAGAAGAAGAAGUGGCACCUCGUCUCGAGCUGCGGAGGUCGUCGCAGCCACUCGGGGAGGGAAGUGAGCCUCCCGGGAGAUAAGAUUUGGGCAAAGGCACGCGUGUAGGGGGUGGAUGUCGAGCCAGCUCGGCUCGGUCUAGCUAGGCUCGGCUUAUUAUCCUAACGAGCUAGAAAACCAAGCUAGGCUCGGCUAGUUGUCUAGCUCGAGCGGGCUCGUUUGGCUCGUGAGCCAAAGAAAGCAGGGCAAGCAAGACGACGAGGACGCGCGGCCACACGGGAGUAGGGGUGUCGCCCGCCGGGUAACUAGGCGAUUCGCGCGAGGAAGAGGCGAGUUGGGGUCUUAGGGUGGCCGGAGGCAAGUAGGGAAGGAGACGGCGUGACCUACUGACCUUCCCGAUAGCCAGCGUGAGGAGCGGAUGGCAGCUGUUGACGUUGAGGAUGCGAGGUGAAGCGGGGAGACCGGCGGCGAGAAAGGGCACAACCGCGCGCACAAGGAAGGGUGGCGCUACGAGCUACGACUCCUCGACUCCUGGGCGGCGCUGUCGGCCACUCGGCUCGAGGAUAAGCGGCGCUUCUGGGAAUCGUUGAGAAAAGGAACGGACAGGUAGGGAGGGAUUUUAGGGUUAGACUAUUGGGCUUAUUAUCUUCGAGGUGGAGUUGGUAAUUGUAAUCGUGUGAUAUGCAUCCUUACCAAUCCUAACAUAUCAUAUAUGCUGAUAUAUAGACACCAUGAGAUGCUCGGGUUUAUAACAUUCGGUAUUAAACACUUUUUUUUUGCUGCCAAAUUUACCAACGAGAAAAAUAUACAAUACCUACUGGGCUGCAGCAAAUCAGGACAACAACCUCUUAAAGAACCGCGGCAGUAGGGCAAGAAGCGGCGGCACUGUCGGGCCCGAUCGUGCGGCGUGACCACGCGAGGGAGGCCUGGUGGGUGGGGAAUAGUAGGGCUAGGGAUUUGGUCGGGGAGCUGUGGACGACGGGACACGGGAAGAGGGGAGGAAUGGGGGAGACGAGAGUGAGAGAGAGAAGGGCACCUCGUCGGCGGCACGCGUGCUCGAGGUGUGGAGGUCGUCGGCGGCCGCACCGCGGCGGUGGGGAAUGGGGGCAAGGCGCGGCGGCGGUGGGAAAUGGGGGCAAGGGAAGGGAAGGUGGAGGGAUUGGAUGGUUUGAGUGACUCGGGAAGGGAAGUGGAGCGGAGCCUCCCGGGAGAUAAGAUUUGCGCAGAGGCACGCGUGGCCUACGCAUUGGCACCGCUGGCCUCCAUCUGGGCCGUCGGCUUCACAUCCGACGGGGUUGGUGUCGAGGGCUCGGGGCCCCGGUUUUUGCGUUUUGAGGGAAAUGCGUUCCAUAUGUUUCCGACGAGGAGUAUUCCAGAAUAAUACCUACUACAUUUUUUAUUUCUUUUGAUGAAAGUAGGUAAGGUGUCUAUUUUGAUUGGUAAUAAAGAACAUAGUUUACAUAAAUAUUACAUAUGCUCUAGCAGAUAAAUAGUUAAAACAUAACGAUUUUUUACCAUAACGGUGGGGGGAGCCAAACUAGAAAUUAAGAAAUUAGGAGUAAACAUUAACCAAAAGUGCAUUCUAUUGUUAUUAGAUUGUACUUGGCAUAUAUCAUUUUGUUUUUUUAUUCCAAACUAUAGUUGAUUUGAAUUUACUAAUUACCUAAUUUAAAUAUCUAUAUUAUUAGUCUAAAUUAUUUUUAAAAUUAAAAAUAUUAAAAUAUUACAGAUAUAUCACAAUGUUUUAGGGACGGGAAGACAAAGUACGUUCAAUGGUUUCAAUUUAUAACCUGAUAAAGAAAGAAUGUUAAAUUAGAUUCAUGCCAAGUGUCACAGUAUGUCCUUUAGAAAAUUUUGUGGAAUAAAAAUUACUUAUAAGAAUAUACCUUGAUAAAAAGAUAUUUUGUGUGACUAUGGGUAGUUUGUGGUCUAGAUUCUUCUUAAGAAAUUUAUGUGAGUUUGGAUGAGUACAAAUUAUGUGAGCUUACAUUUUUCGUUCUAAGGGUGUUUGGAUGAGAUUCAAUAACCAAAUUACAUCUGCUAAAAACGGAAAUCAAAAUUAACAACUUGAAAGUAGGUGGAGCUGGGCAGAGGCAGAUCUAACCCUGUUUCGGUUGAACCCCCAAACUUUUUGAGGGAUAACGCAGAAUACCUGAUGAGGUGUGGGUAGGGAGGGAUGCUCACCGGCGAGCGACGAUGCGGUGGAAGAAGGAGGACGCCGGGCGCCACCUCUGCUCGCAGGAUGGGGAUCGGCGCAAGCGGCGGGCGAGGAGACGAAAUUCGAGGCCGAGGCCGGAUGGGAUGGAUUAGGAUGCGAAUGCGGCGGGAGCAGGAGGACGCCGGCGCCACCUCUGCUAGCAGGAUGGAGAUCGGCGCCAGCGGCAGGCGAGGAGACGGGAGUCGAGGGCGGCGGGCGAGGAGACGGGACGGAUUGGGGAGGCGGAGGUCGUGCAGCGCUCUGCUGCCGCGUUGUCGCCUGCCUAUGGGUCAUAUGCACAGGCGCCUCAUCUCCCAAAAAAGUUCAUCUAAGGUCCCUUAUCUUGUCGUUGAGUUUUAAACGGCCCUGAACCCCUAAUCUUGCAAAACGGUCCACUUUUAAUCCCAAGGUAGUAUUGCUUUCCGGUUUUGUUGACGUGGUGGCUGAGUCAGUGCAGGGCCCACGUGGAACCCACAAGCCAACUAGCAAUCUUCUUCCACCUCACUCCCCUCUACUCCUAUCUCAACCCAAACCUCUAGGGCAUUCGCCAAUGGGUGGGGAGAAGGGUGUCGGUUGGCAGGGAAAAGCUCAACGGCGGAGGCCGCCAGCUGACGUGGCUCCUAAUGACCGGGAGCGCUCACGUCAUGGACUUGCGCACGUGCGGGGGUGUGGCACGGGUCCCAACUACAACUGCUCGCCUUCUCCCCACCCAUCGCCAGGCGCCGUCGUCGGGCACCGGCCACCACACACCUCUCCCACGAUUCAGCGUCCUCUUCACAUACAACUGCUCGCCUUCUCCCCACGCAUCGCCAGGCGCCGUCGUCGGGCACCGGCCACCACACACCUCUCCCACGAUUCAGCGUCCUCUUCGCUCCAUGACGCAGCCGUCAAGAGCCCAGGGUGACUCACACCUUCCCUCCCUCGUGGGCCAAAGUCGGGAGGAUGUUUGCAUCCAUAUUCGAUCGAGGGAGAAACCUCAUUUUCUCCAGCAGCCGAAACAUGCCAACUCCCGCCCCCCCGCAGCUGGGGUAACAAGCUCACGCCACCGAGCUCGCCAGGAGCGAUGCGAGCGCGUCGUCUUUUAUGCCGGUGUCAGUCGUCAUAGAUUUUCCAUGUGGUACUAAAAACUUCGUUUUUGUGCGUGACAGUUGCGCGUAGAAUAUGUAUGGGCUUUGCACGCACGCCGGCCCGAAGUCUCGAAAUUAUCCAGGAUCAUCAUGCGCCGUCCCUCGUGAAGGCCGCCGCCGCCGGGUCCGUCGCCGGCGAACAGCGUGGCCACCGCCAUAAGCCACCCGCUGAUCCGCCCAUGCACAACAGCCCAUCCUGUUGCAGCCACUCCUCGCCGCCGGCACAACCACCACCACCGGGCUUUCUCACCGACACCACCGGCGACGGCAGCGGCAGCCUGACGGCCAAUGUUCUGCACAAUGUCAAUCUCCUGCAUAUCAAUCACACUCCCAACCCUGAAAUGGUGGAAUACCUGCUAGUAUUCCACUGCAGAUCAAACACUUUCCUUUGGUUGGCUUGUAGAGUAGAGAUAGGGUACAGUCUGCAAACAGAAUUGGUUCAUCGGCACUGGAUAUAGGAUACAGCUUGCAUUGCAACAGAGUUUGCAGAAUGCAUGGCUUUACUAAAGAGGGAUCACCCUUACAAUUUUUGCGCUGUUUUAUUGGACUGAAAAUUAACACAAAUCAAUGUACCCAGUGACUUGCCAUCAGCCAAGCAGCUGUCUUUUCGGUUUCCAGAUUGGAUUCGGGUAAAGUUUAAGACUCCGGAAGCAGGAAUUUUAGGCACUGUAUUGCCAUUAGAUAAUCGGGUGGAUAAUAUACAUAUUGGUUUGCCAAACACUUGGAACAGGCCACAAAUUUCGAGUUAACUUUUAUUUGAUUGAGGAUUUCACAACCGGUUUAUACAAGGUCUAGUACCCAAGAGAAUAAUAGCGUACUGAACAAACAAAGGGACAGGAAAGAACAAGGGCUGCUUCUGUCAAGAACCAUGGUCACUUGAACAUAAAUGCAAGGUGAGAUAAAACGAUAAUGGCGUUAGAAGAGGGAAGGAAGAAAUGAUCAGAAGCAGCAGGCUACUGGCAUUGACACUUGAUGGUGUUAACGAUAAUGUUAAACAAGUCGACACGAAAAAAUCACUACUACUCCUACUCCUAAGCCUCAGUGAAGGAGGAAACGGAGAACAUCUCUCUCGCAUUGCAGUAAAUGGUACUGCUGGUGCUGGACUCCUCACGUUUCUCAGCUGUUGAACGCUGGAGGUAGAACAGUAGUAGCACUGGUAAACAGUGGAAGUAAAAUUUCAUUUAUGGAUUAUUAAUUUGCUAUUAAAGGACAGUUUAAACUGAUCUAAAGCCAAGCUAACAUGGUGAACUUUUGUGGCUAACGCAAGUAUGGAAGGGUUGCCAUACAAUGUACAAGCUAACAUGAACGUUAUUGAAGCUGAAAAAACUAUAAUGUAAUACUCCUAUAUCCUACUGACAUGUCUGCACCAUAUAUUGAUCCAUGAGACUCAUUCCUGACUGGCCUUUUACUGGCACAUGCAUGGAACAAUCAGCUUAAAGUUAACAGUCAGCUAUACUGCAUUUAGCUGCACGCCUGCACUACAACAGAUUUUGCAACUGCCAUUACAUUGGCUAAUAGAGAAAGCUAGCAUACAGUUGAAAACCAAACGGAACAAACCCCCAACGCUUAAGAGCACAUGAAAACCUGCUGCCAAAACUUUGAUGUUACAGCUUACAAUAACAAUCAGAAUGGUCUGGUGCUUCUGCGACAAACAAAUGUUUCAAAACUCGUCCCUUUUGCACCAUUAAAUAUUUCUCCCUAGGCCUUUCAAAAUUGUGAAAAAGUAUUAUGAAAAAUAGACUAAUAAGCUCGCCUAAAAGCAUAUGACAAGCUACUGUAAAACACCAUCCGUUUUGGUGUUUUGGAUGGAACUAGAUUUCUAUGGCUUAAAAAUGAAGUUACAGACAUGAGAAUUCACAGUUCCCACCGAUGGUACGGCGCAGCAUGAGCGUACAGUUUGUGAAGUGAUUUACCAGUUCAUGCUCACUUAGUCACUGCAAUUUGCGUUAAAAUUGCAUAUUGCCAAAGCAUUUUGUCCAAUGAAGCCUCAUGGAAUUAUCUCCUGCUGUUUGCUGUUUGAGCCUUGUUUAGGUUU
rnacentral:lncRNA from 1 species